rnacentral:rRNA from 1 species
CACGUAGGGUGCGAGCGUUGUCCGGAAUUAUUGGGCGUAAAGAGCUCGUAGGCGGUUUGUCGCGUCUGUCGUGAAAGCUUGGGGCUUAACCCCAAGUCUGCGGUGGAUACGGGCAGACUAGAGGCAGGUAGGGGAGAACGGAAUUCCCGGUGUAGCGGUGAAAUGCGCAGAUAUCGGGAGGAACACCAAUGGCGAAGGCAGCUCGCUGGGACGGUACUGACGCUGAGACGCGAAAGCGUGGGGAGCAAACAGG